UACGAAGGGGGCUAGCGUUGCUCGGAAUCACUGGGCGUAAAGGGUGCGUAGGCGGGUCUUUAAGUCAGGGGUGAAAUCCUGGAGCUCAACUCCAGAACUGCCUUUGAUACUGAAGAUCUCGAGUUCAGGAGAGGUGAGUGGAACUGCGAGUGUAGAGGUGAAAUUCGUAGAUAUUCGCAAGAACACCAGUGGCGAAGGCGGCUCACUGGCCCGAUACUGACGCUGAGGCACGAAAGCGUGGGGAGCAACAGG
rnacentral:rRNA from 1 species